rnacentral:rRNA from 1 species
GAUGAAGAUAUUAAGGGCAUAUGGUGGAUGCCUUGGCACAGAAAGCCGAUGAAGGACGUGACUACCUGCGAUAAGCUGCGGUGAGGCGGAAAUAGCCUUCGACCCGCAGAUUUCCGAAUGGGUGAACCCGCUACGAGUCAUGUCGUAGCACUCCCGCCUGAAUAAAAUAGGGCGGGUAGAGACAACCCGGGGAACUGAAACAUCUAAGUACCCGGAGGAAAAGAAAUCAACCGAGAUCCCCCUAGUAGCGGCGAGCGAACGGGGGCCUAGCCUAAACCUGCGUAUGCGUUAAAGCAUUGAGGCGUUGCUGCGUUGGGUGUUGUAGGACCAGCUAUCGAUCGGACUCAAUUCCGGUCGGGUCAGUUACCAAAUGUCGUGGUAGGAAAAAGGCCUGGAAAGGCCUGCCAUAGAGGGUUAAAGCCCCGUAUCCGAAACCACGGCACCUGCCAAGCUGGCACCUGAGUAAUGCCGGACACGAGAAAUCCGGUAUGAAUCCGGGGAGACCACUCUCCAAGGCUAAAUACUCUUCUGUGACCGAUAGUGAACAAGUACCGUGAGGGAAAGGUGAAAAGCACCCCGUGAGGGGAGUGAAAUAGUACCUGAAACCAUAUGCCUACAAGCAGUCGGAGCCACUAGGGCCCUCUUUUGGGAAACCGUGGUGACGGCGUGCCUUUUGUAGAAUGAGCCUGCGAGUUACGGUAUGCGGCGAGGUUAAGUUUUAAAACGAGCCGUAGCGAAAGCGAGUCUUUAAACGGGCGUUUAGUCGUAUGCUGUAGACGCGAAGCCGAGUGAGCUAUCCAUGGCCAGGCUGAAGCGAGGGUAAGACCUCGUGGAGGGCCGAACCCACUUCUGUUGAAAAAGGAGGGGAUGAGCUGUGGAUAGGAGUGAAAGGCUAAUCAAACUCGGAGAUAUCUCGUUCUCCUCGAAAUAGCUUUAGGGCUAGCCUCAAUCGUUUAGUAUUGGUGGUAGAGCACUGGAAGGUCUAGGGGGUUUCACCGCCUACCGAAACUUACCAAACUCCGAAUGCCAAUACUCCAUAGAUUGGGAGUCAGAAUAUGUGGGCUAAGCUGUGUGUUCGAAAGGGAAACAGCCCAGACCGCCCGCUAAGGUCCCUAAAUCCAUGCUAAGUGGCAAAGGAUGUGCGUUUGCCUAGACAACCAGGAUGUUGGCUUAGAAGCAGCCAUUCAUUUAAAGAGUGCGUAACAGCUCACUGGUCAAGUG